AAGCACUGGGGGGCGGGUGGAGGCUGGUCCGGAGUAUCCCGGGAACCUCGGAGUCCCUACAAUCUUCUAAAGCGAAGGACCGGACACCCUCGGAACCGAUCACAGCCCGGGAAAGGCUGGAGAGCUGGAGGCCCAAGGGCCCGCGAAGGGAGAAGGGAGAGGAGGGGGCAAACAAAGGAGGAAACAACCGAACCUCGAGCGAUGUGCGAGAAGAACGGCCGCGACCGAGGGUGCUCCGGGGCGCGGAGAGAGGCGGAGGGCGCCGGCGGGAGAGCGAGAGUCCGGGGUCUGCUAGUCGCUGCUGGUGAAUAAAAAGGAGAGAGGAGGCGCCUCUUACUGCUCUGCCGGAAAACUGCAGCCUGCGCUCCUGAUUGGACUCACCGAGCCCUAAACAAACAGCGCUAGCCGAAGGGUGCCAGGCUGUGGGUCGGAACUGCUCUCUACAAGCUGCUGGGUGCGGAGGUGAAGAGAAGGAGGAGGGAUCCAGGGGAGGAGAAAAAAAGCGGGUGGGGAGGGGACGGCGAGGGGGAGGGGAGUGCUCAGCCCUAGCGGACAAUAAGAGCUAGGCAGCCUGCGGGCGUGGGUUGAGCUGCUAGCCCUGUCCUCAGAGUAGGAGCGAGUCCACCCCGGGGGCGCCCAGCUAAAGGACACCAAGGGAGGGGAAGGGGCAACAGCAUGCCUGACCUGGCCAGCGACCCAUAAUCAUCCAGCGCUGUAACACAUCCCCAGUUGCACGCGCACACACACACACACACACACACACACACACAAAGUCAUACCCGCCACCCAGGGCAGAAGAGGGAGGGAAACUUGGCUCGGAAGGAGCUGGAUCUUCAUAGACCCCGCUGACCGUCGCCGCAAAGGGAGGGACUCGCCCCCUCCUGGGUCAGGACGUCCCCAAAGUCAGCGGGGAAGGGGCGGGGGGAGGGGAGGGAGAAUGCCCAAAGGGCCCUCCCAGCCCCUCCUUCCAAAUUAAGCCCCGCGCAGUUGCUAGUAACUGACCUUAAACUUUCUUGACCCUGUUUCGGGAUGCUCAGGUCGUGGGGUCCUUUGGAAUUCAACGCUCUGGGAAAGGAGCCCUUGUGUAUUCCCUACCUCGCCCCUGCUCUUAAAAUAUAUACUAAAUUCCUGGGAGGUUUUGUAGAGUUCAGAACAACAUUCCCCAGCUAACCUUUCGGUUGUGGUGUAUGGGAAGGUUGAAACUAUGAGGUGCUGGGGACCGUCUUGAAUGAAAAACACUGCGGUGUCCAAGGACGCUAGUUUGGUUGUCGCGUUCACUCUGAGCUUUCUCUGGACUUCAGGUCAAUCAAAGAUAACGCGUUGAGAAGGAGCGGGGUACCUUCCCUGGACCCAGAAAGAAAUACCAUUUCUCCACCCCCAAUCUCACACACACCCCUUAGUCGCUCCCUCCAAAUGGUUAUCACAACUGUGUACAAACUGAUACGGUUCUUAGCGGGCCAAGGACUGGAAAUGAACACUGGCGGGGUUAUCAGUGCCGAUCUGUCAGCAGCAAGUCGCGCACUGCUUGUCCCAGGCAGCAGCAGUGAUAUACGUCUUAUUCCUUUGAGCUCACAAAAGGGAUUUCUUUCGACAAGCUGGACAUUGGAAGAAGGCUGCGAGAAGGGAAUUGAACAUGAGAAACACUCUUGUGGGAGUGGAUUCUUACAGGAACACCCCAGGUAAAUUAAAGUAAAUGUUUUCUAUAGAUCUUCCUGGAAGCAUUUGAACUCUUUGUUGUUGUUGUUGUUGUUGUUGUUGUUUUAGUUUCGUUUGCUACUUAUUUUUAUCGUUUUUCCAAUUGGAGAAAGGAGAGGGAUCCAAGCAGAUUGAAACAUGAAUGCAUACAUAGGUGCUCUGUAAAACAGGAUUUCGAGAGACCUCGUUGCGAAGGGGUUCUUUCCUUGAACUGUACCUGUGUGCUGCGGGAGAAGGGAAAUGACUUACUGGGGAGGGGGCCUCCGAAUCCAGGAAGUUAGCAAGAAUUUUCCCGUUUUCAUUCUUCACUGUAAAUCGCGGCCAAACACUUCUAAAUUUUAAACCUGCUACCGAGUAGGUCUAUAAACCGUUCUUGCCUAACUGCGUCACUUUUACCGUGUUCCUUUUUGCCUCCCCUAGUCACUGUGGCUUCAGCGUGGCUGCAUUUAUGAAAGGCUGGAAGUAGAAAACUCUGGAAUGGAGAGACUAGCAGCUGGAACAGGAUUCAAAGGCUUUAAAUUUUAACCCGAGUUCGAUCGAAAGUUACUACCACAAGAGACUGGCACGGGCCGGCCCAAUUCCCACCACGGCUUCCAGCGGCUUGCUUUGGGUUGUCCGGUAAGUUCCAACCAAAUUUUUAAGCGGGUUGGGUUCUGCGAAGUUCAUUUGUAAGCAAUUCAUUAAAGCUUCGGACAUCGCUUUUUCAUUUGAGUCCAAUUUUCCGAAAUAAUGUCUCCAGUUUGCUCUUAAAAGCAAUUUUUACAGUUCGUAUUUGCUAAUAAAAUAAUAAAUGACUUGGCUAACUAAAUUUGGCGUCCUGGCUGUGAACGACCUUCAAGGUUGAGGAACAUCGAGCUCCGACGCGAGCCUAGUUCCAGUCCUGUGGGGGGGGGGGGUGGCUUUGUUUUGUUUUGUUGUUCGAGGGGUUAUCCUGUGUAAAUUUCCUGGAACAAUAGCAAACCCCUACUGCUCUGCUUUCCUGAAGCUAGGCGUCGAAGACUAGAGAACACACUGACCCUGGCGCCUCUGGGACAGAGGUGAGGAGUUCGACCCAAACGAACAGAUUCGACAACAUUCGGACUCUAGAGGCUGGGGAAGAAACCCAUAAUUUUACCGUCCUCAUUCCCAAUCAUUUUAGUAGUGCCUCCAACCACAAGAAAACCGAUAGAUCAUUGUUUUUCCUUUCAGGGCUCAAAAUUCACCUUUUAAACUUUUUUUAAAGACUAGCUUUCCGAAAGAGGAAUAGGUUAGAGAAAUAUUUUUUUUUCCAUCUCAGUUAAUGUAAAAAUAAAACCUGUCCGGUUGACUAAGACAAAAACCUAGACUGCUUGCAGACUCUAAUUUGUUUUGGGUUUUUUUCUGGACUCACGGACUCUGGCGACGACACCCCAGCCUAGCAAGCAAAGGCACAUUUCAAAGCCCUCCCCUAUCGGCCUCAGGCUGGACUCUCCAGGGAAAUGGAAGCCAGCAGAAUCCGGGGUGCGGAGGGGAAGGUGGCACACCAACCUAGGGGAACCCCAAAAUGAAGAUGGUCCCCAUCAUGCCCCAAAUAACUCCUGGAAGUUUCUUUCUUAGUGUUUUUCUUCUGUUUUGUUUCUUUCUUUUCAACUCCUUUUCUCUUGUCCCCUCCUGUCUUUCCCAAGCUGGCUUUGCUAGUCUUGACUGGAAUCGUUUUGCUCAGAACCAUUUAGACCCAAGGAGCAGACCCUCCGAAAGAAAGCUGACUCUAGGGCACUGCCUGUUCCCCUAUGCUCAUUUAUUUGGUCCGGACCAAACCACCACUUGCCUUUCAAAUCUAGCCGGAACACAGCAGCCAAUAGGGCAGGGGGCGGGGGCUCUGUAGCUAAAACGGAAGAGGUGUUUGGGGACUCGAUGGCACGCGGCUUCCGGGGGGCACCACAGAUCCGGGCCUGGAUGUGUAUCGCUAUACAUCUUUGGCCUUGCAAACUCAAGCUCAUUACCUGUCAUUUCACGAAGCUUCUACCUGCUCGAACAUUGAUUCAAAAGUGGGGCAAGGGGUGUUGAUACAUACACAUACAAUUUCUGUGUUAAUAAACAUGGUUCGAACUUUAGCUUUUAAAAAUUACGGUAAAGCUAUAACUCACUGGUGAAUUGCUUAAUGUUCAAGGAUGUGGGUUCGAUUCUCACGCACUACAAAAAAAAAGAAAAAAAGAAAAGAAAGAAAGAAAGAAAGAAAGAAAACGGAAACACACAUUUAUAAAGCCUAGUCGAUUAUACCACAUUUCUUACUGUCUUAGGGACUCUUUCACCCAACGAUACGGGUCACCUUGGCUUCCUAAUUUUCCCCAAUGUCCCAGUCCAGUAGAGGGGUGUGAACAGUGUGUGCCCCCAUUCGGAACGCCAGCCAAUAACCAGAGUACUCUCUUUUCCUUUCUCCUUCUCUCUCCCUUCGUGGCGAGUCCUUUUUUCUUUCUUUUACCCCAUUUCUUCCCUUCCCUUCCUCCAUUUUAUUCUUAUGUUCCUAUAAACAAACAAAACCGCUCCAGACAUGAUCAGGUGACGGCGGAAGAGCGAAGGUCGCCCCAAUUCACAGUGUUGGUUCUCUUUCUGCCUGGCCUCAGGCUUCAGAGCUAAUGCACCGGUCCCGGGCGGUGGGAAUCAAGCGGUACGCGGGACCCGACCCUGCCCCCGCGGUCCCGCACAUUUGCAGCCCUUGGUGACCCCGGCUGGCAGCCGCCAGUUCAGUGCAGAGGUGGGCUCGCGGUUGCCGGAAAGGUCAUUGAGGUGGCAUCCCUGUCCGCGCGCUGUUUACGUGACUUAAUGUAUGUACUUCUUACGCGGCGGUAAGAAGCAGUGGCGAUAAGGGGGUGGCCCCGGAGCGUCGCCGUAAAAGCCCCACGCUGGGCGCCUGAGGCCCACCCUCAGCCAUUAACCUUUUUACUUUAUUCUUUCCUCUCUCUUAAAGCUUGUUAUCAGGGCCACCCAAUGACCGACGAAAGAUUUUCCCUCCCCACCUCUCCCAUCGCCGCUUUAAACCAAAUAAAUUUAGCUAUUAAGGGCCAAGAUGUCUGAAAAAAGAUCGAAAGGUGUCUCUCUGGGAUCCCUUAGAGAAGCGGAGAAGCUAGCGGCUCUUGGCUCUCGAAUCCCGAUAAAGAAAUUCCCCGCCGGCGCCAGCCUCCCUCCUCAGCCUGCUUGCGUUCUUGGGAUCACCACCUCAAAGGUCCGUUGCGACCUGUGACUGCAACUGAGGCAUUGUCUCCGGGUCUCCUGGCCUGGGGAUGCUCAGGCAUUGGAACUAACCCUAACUCAGAAGCUGUAGGACCUAAAACAUUCCUGCCAGGCUUGCAGAAGAACCAAGGUCAAUGAAACAAACUCAAGUUCCAUUUAAAUUUGCCCCUGUUCCCCCUGUCUUCUACAAAGCCUUCUAUUAUAUAUGACAAGCUGGCCUGGAGCUCAAGAUCCUUACCGCCUGUAGAGUAUAGGAAUUACAAAUGUUGUAGCCUUGUCCUACUGUUUUGGGUUUAUUUAUUUAUUUAUUUCUCUAAUAUUAAUAAAGACAAAACCAAAUCAUACCUGUC
rnacentral:lncRNA from 1 species